rnacentral:rRNA from 1 species
ACAGCAGCCGCCGCGGUAAUACGGAGGGUGCAAGCGUUAAUCGGAAUUACUGGGCGUAAAGCGCACGCAGGCGGUCUGACAAGUCAGAUGUGAAAUCCCCGGGCUUAACCUGGGAACUGCAUUUGAAACUGUCAGGCUGGAGUCUUGUAGAGGGGGGUGGAAUUCCAGGUGUAGCGGUGAAAUGCGUAGAGAUCUGGAGGAAUACCGGUGGCGAAGGCGGCCCCCUGGACAAAGACUGACGCUCAGGUGCGAAAGCGUGGGGAGCAAACAGGAUUAGAUACCCCUGUAGUCCCUGUCUCUUAUAU